rnacentral:lncRNA from 1 species
GCUCCGCGCGGCCGGGAGGGAGCCAAGGGUUCCCCAGGUUCAAAGGGCCGCAGCCCCGAGGGAAUGCCCUCUUCGUUGUGUCCCGGGGUACAGAAGCGGACUGCAGGGCGGUGGGACCGGCCUAGGUCACGGAGAAAACCCAGAUACUGGGCUAGAUAUAUGAGGCUGACCAAGAAAGAUAAAGUAUAA